CAGCUGCGAUUACCUUGAACAAAUUAGAGUGCUCUAAGCAGGCUAGCUACACGGCCGAGAAUAAUCUUGCAUGGAAUAAUGGAAUAUGACCUCGGUCUUAAUAUUCAUUGGUUUGUAAUCAGAUCAAGAGGUAAUGAUUAACAGAAGUAGUUGGGGGCAUUAGUAUUACGGCGCGAGAGGUGAAAUUCGUAGACCGUCGUAAGACUAACUAAAGGCACAGAGAAGGUUGAAUCUUUAUUCUGG
rnacentral:rRNA from 1 species